UACAGAGGGUGCGAGCGUUAAUCGGAAUUACUGGGCGUAAAGCGUGCGUAGGCGGUAGUUUAAGUCAGAUGUGAAAGCCCCGGGCUCAACCUGGGAACUGCAUUUGAGACUGCUCUGCUCGGGUGCGGAAGAGGGAAGCGGAAUUUCCGGUGUAGCGGUGAAAUGCGUAGAUAUCGGAAGGAACACCAGUGGCGAAAGCGGCUUCGUGGUCCGAAACCGACGUUCAGGCACGAAAGCGUGGGGAGCAAACAGG
rnacentral:rRNA from 1 species